rnacentral:sRNA from 1 species
UAAGAACUUACUGGAAGAGGGUCGAA